CUCUGUCCUGCCGCGCAGGAGCGGGAUGCUGAGCCCUGUCCGCCCCACGGGGAGCUGCAGUACCUAAGGCAGGUGGAGCACAUCGUCUGCUGCAGCUGCAGGAAGGACGCCCCCAGGGCACCUGCUCUCUGCCGCCGCUGUUUUCGUUUUCGGCAGGCAGGCAGUCAGUCAGUCCCACUGCAGCCUGAGAAGUGACUUUCCUCUGCUGACAACCACAAUGUUUUGGAGGAGUUGCUGUCGUUUAUCAAGGGAUCCACAUAUGCUGAAGAACUGUCUUCCAAGAGAGUGAAAAUGUGAGAUGAGGCAGUGGAGCCCUUUUUGGACAACUUGGGAUUCUCCACUGAGAAGAAGGGGACUUGGGCCCAGUUUAUGGCUUCCAGUGGAGGCAUUUUGGGCAGAAUACGAAGAUAUGGAUUCAGAUUAU
rnacentral:lncRNA from 1 species